rnacentral:rRNA from 1 species
AUACGGCCCAGACUCCUACGGGAGGCAGCAGUGGGGAAUAUUGCACAAUGGGCGCAAGCCUGAUGCAGCGACGCCGCGUGGGGGAUGAAGGCCUUCGGGUUGUAAACUCCUUUCGCUAGGGACGAAGCUUUUUGUGACGGUACCUAGAUAAGAAGCACCGGCUAACUACGUGCCAGCAGCCGCGGUAAUACGUAGGGUGCGAGCGUUGUCCGGAAUUACUGGGCGUAAAGGGCUCGUAGGUGGUUUGUCGCGUCGUCUGUGAAAUUCUGGGGCUUAACUCCGGGCGUGCAGGCGAUACGGGCAUAACUUGAGUACUGUAGGGGUAACUGGAAUUCCUGGUGUAGCGGUGAAAUGCGCAGAUAUCAGGAGGAACACCGAUGGCGAAGGCAGGUUACUGGGCAGUUACUGACGCUGAGGAGCGAAAGCAUGGGUAGCGAACAGGAUUAGAUACCCUGGUAGUCCAUGCCGUAAACGGUGGGCGCUAGGUGUGAGGGUCUUUCUACGACUUUCGUGCCGUAGCUAACGCAUUAAGCGCCCCGCCUGGGGAGUACGGCCGCAAGGCUAAAACUCAAAGGAAUUGACGGGGGCCCGCACAAGCGGCGGAGCAUGUGGAUUAAUUCGAUGCAACGCGAAGAACCUUACCUGGGCUUGACAUAUAGAGGAUCGCUGCAGAGAUGUGGUUUCCCUUGUGGCUUCUAUACAGGUGGUGCAUGGUUGUCGUCAGCUCGUGUCGUGAGAUGUUGGGUUAAGUCCCGCAACGAGCGCAACCCUUGUCUUAUGUUGCCAGCAUUUGGUUGGGGACUCAUGAGAGACUGCCGGGGUUAACUCGGAGGAAGGUGGGGAUGACGUCAAAUCAUCAUGCCCCUUAUGUCCAGGGCUUCACACAUGCUACAAUGGUCGGUACAACGCGCUGCGACACUGUGAGGUGGAGCGAAUCGCUGAAAGCCGGCCUUAGUUCGGAUUGGGGUCUGCAACUCGACCCCAUGAAGUCGGAGUCGCUAGUAAUCGCAGAUCAGCAACGCUGCGGUGAAUACGUUCCCGGG